AGGAGAAGAACCAAUUUUCUGUGUGUUUUCUGUGGAAAAAGAUGAUGAAUUUAUAGAGAGUUUUUGGGAAACUGUAACAGCCAUAAACGGCUAGUGGAGCAGUUACCGGAGUAAUGGGGAACUCCAACAGUCAUAAAACGGCUAGUGGAGUUAAUGGAGCAGUUUCCAGAGUUAGUGGGUUGAUUAAGUCUCCUGACUUAAUCAAACUGCCCUUGACCAAAAAGAAUAACCCGGUCCACAAAACCCACCCCACGCCCGCGAACCGCAUUCGCCAAGUACCAAGUAUCAAGUACCAAGUACCAAGUACCAAGGCCCAAGGCCCAAGGCCCAAGGCCCUCGCCCGAGCCUGGGCUAUAGGCCCCGACAUACAGGGUAGCAAUGACUCUGGAGUCUUUAUUUCUUGAAUAAAUGAUCUAUGGUAUCUUCUAUCUUAUCUCUUUUGAUCAUUGCUAUUUCUUCCCUUGCUAUUCUCUUUUUCCUUUCAAAUCAUCCUUCUUUCUCUUUUCUUUCUCCCAAUCUUCUUGGUUUUGCAACAUCAAUGAAGGACGAAAACCCUGUAUUCCCCUGUUGACGCUUUCUCAGCUAAGGGUCUACCCGAAAUAGCCUCGAUAAGUCUCAUAAAAAUGAACAGAAAGCAGAGUUGUAAUUUCUGGUGCUAAAGAACCAUAAAGCUCAAGAAGACUGAUACUAAGUACAGUUCCAUUUCAAUGUCAGGUGGGGUUUUCAUGUCAUCUGUUGUUUAUUGGUCUUCUCAUGUAAAUCAGUUGUUUGUUGUUGGGUUUGGAAAAUCCUAGGAAUUUCACAAGAGCUCAUUGAGUUCUGAAUUUUGAGAAAAUAGAUUGUUGAACUUUGUAGGUCGAUCCCCUAAAUUCCCAGGCAUCAGUCUAGAAGUGCACAAAAAUGUCAAAACUUAAUUUUUCUAAUCCUGAACUAACACACCUCUAGUUCCAAGUGACUCCGUGCGAUGGCUUCUGAUAGCCUGAUCAAUGCCUCUAGCUGUUUUACAGUCAUUCUUUAAGCAACUCUACUACCUGGAGCAGCAUCCCCUCUCCGAAGAGUGACAUAUGAGGAAACUAACACUUUUCUUGCUUCCAAACUCAACUGCUCCAAUAUAAGAGAAAAAUGAGUGUUGUGAUACACACAACGGCAAUAAAGCUACCUAGUCAAAGUCAAUACAGAAGAAAAUAGAAUGAUGACCUUAGGUUUCAAUUUUUUUGCAUAUGCAAUAUAACGUUUUAUCUGGGCAGUAGUAAAGGUAGGUGAUAAUGCUUCUUCACGUCUUUGAUGCACUCUUACAAUAUGGUGAGCAAUGUGGUAAUCAAUUUGAUCGUCUGGAUCAUCUAUCAUAACAUAUACCAGAUUGAACCUUGAGAGAAUUGCUGGAGGUAGAGCCACAUUAUAGUGUUGAAAGAAGAUCAUUAGUUAGUCUAAGUUUUGAGAACCCCAACAAAAAACUAAAGGACAAUCUACAGAAUUCAGGUGAAAUGCAAUGAACAAAUCAGAUUAAUCAUAGAGAUGUGCUUGAUUUGAAAUUCUUUACUUUCAGAGGUUUUGUUUUGUCAUAUCGUCCACCAGUAGGAUUGGCAGCAGCUGAAAUCGAUGUUCUAGCAUUCAAAGUAGCUUGUAUUCCUGCUUUUGUGAUACUUAUAGUCUGCCGUUCCAUAGCUUCAUGGAUAGCAACCUUUAAAUUGAUCACACAGACGCUAUCACACGGAAUAGAAUAGAAUGUUUCUACAAGAAAUAUAAUGUAAUUUACAAGAAUAUAUUACCUGAUUUACCACACAACAGUGCUACUGGUCUGUUCCUGCUGUUGCAGGCAAUCUAUUCAGGAUCGAUCUGCUGUCUGCUGUCCUUUGUGCAGUCUUGCUGUUGUGAAGCCUCGGUUACAGCUGUGCAGUCUGAUACUUUGUGCAACUGCUGCUUUGUGCUUUUGAUGCUAUGCUCUGCGGCUGCUGGUGCUUUGGAUUUCCUCGUACAGCUGCUGCAUCUGUGCUGCUGGAACUAUGUUUUGUUACUGUUUCGGUCUGCAUCAGUUGUUGUUGUAUCUGCUACUGUGUUGCCCUGCUGUUGCACCUGUGUACCUUUGGAAACCCUUUGCGGCUGCUUUUUCUUUUUUCUAGGGAUGCGUCUAGUGCACCACAUCAUGUCAGUGAGCAAAAUGGACAAUCUACUAAAACUGGAACUACAGUUAGUCAGGUGCAAGGUGAGCAAAGUGGAGAAGAAAUAUAGCCAUUAUCAAACGAUAUAUAUAGUUACUCCAUGGAAGCAUUCCUUUAGCUUAUGUAUGCUAGCUUUUUAUUGUUUCAAACAAUAGUAAACUUUUUGUGUUGAGAAUAUUAUAUCUUGUUACCAACACUUGUAGAUUUAUGAUAUAAUAUGUAUUAUACCCUAUAGGAAACAAUAUUAUUGUAUUACUGAUUUUGUAUCAAUGAAAUUCUAUUUGCAUUUA